AUAUGCAAUAGUUUGCAUGAUCCAUCUCGGAAGAAUUGUUAAAACAGGAAACACCCUAAUCUCUCUUUAGCCAGGUGCAGUGGUGCACACCUAUAAUCCCAGAAGCUCAAGAAGCUGAGGCAGGAGGACUGUCCCUUCAAAGACAGCCUAAGCAACUGAGAGAGGCCCUACUCAACUUGUUGCAAAGUAAAACAGCAAAGCAAGUCAAAACCCAUUUGGAUUGGUAAUAAGACCGACCCUCGGCUUCAUCAGGUUCCACAUCUGUGAAUUCAACCAACCACAGAUUGAAAAUGUUUGGAAAAAGCUGCAUUUGUACCGAACAGAUCCGCCAAAGAAAUGCAGCCUCAGCACUCUGAAUUUAAACUAGGAAGACCUAUUUUGCAUCUAACAUCCAGAAUGGUUAGAUUAAAAAAAAAUCUGUAUUAUCACCCCCUUCCUAUCAUUUUCUUUAACUAAUUUCACCUACUCAUUAAAAACCUUUGGAUUCUUCUAAAGUGUUCCAUUUUUUGAAAACCCUAUAUAACAUAGUCUGCACGGCUAGUAGCACUUUUAUUUAGAAGACUUGACCAUCUUAUAUUUAUUUUAAUUAUUUCAAAAAGGACUAAUUUUUGUCCUUUUUGCAGAGAAUGGGGGAAGCAAAAAAAAAAAAAAGAAGA